CGGGGAUCCUAGAGACACAAGAGAUGUCGUCUGGGAGUGACAGGGAUGUGGAAGCUGGGCACACUUUUCUCCACUUCAUCUCAGGGACAAGGACUUCCUGUGGAGAAGAUAGAAGAGCUCAUGUCCCUACGCAGGGCCUCAGUUCCUGGAGGAAAUUGCUGGAGUCUCAGUGAAGUACUUGGCCCAAAUUCUUCCAGGACCCUCGGAGUUUAUCCAGGUUCCAACCACAACGUCGUACAGAUCAGAAAAAGUUAACCCUGUCCAGUGUCACAUCGUGAAGAUCCAGGCAUCCUCAUUCAUACCAUUAGCCACGUGUGACCUGGUGACCUCUCUCCUUGACCUCACAUAGGGUAUGGCACACACGUCAUCAUACACAGUUAUACACUGCGUGCUGUUUCAGCCAAUGAUGGGCAACUCAUCUAUGACAUGGCUCCCUAAGAUUAGGCCACCCAGCGAUGUCAGAGCUGUCUUGUUCCUAUAAGCACACUCCGCCAUGUUUGCACAACUCAGGACACAUUUCUCAGAAGGUCUCUUUGUGGCUAAAUAACACACGAUUGGAUUUACUGAAGAAAGUGCCAGACUAGUCUAUCAAUGUGACCCUCUGGCUCCUAAGGUUAGUUUCCGGAUAUGUUUGGUUUUAUCACUUCGCACUUCACAGAGGGGCUUUUUCUUAACUUUUUUUUAUGUUUGCUGUAGAGAAUAUGGUAAAUAUAAACCAUUUAGGAAUGAUUGAAAUCAUCCACUAAAAAUUCCCUAAAAGUUGCGGGGCGGUGGUGGCACACGCCUUUAAUCCCAGCACUCAGAGAGUCAAAGGCAGGAGGGUCUCUAAGAGUUUGAGGCCAGCCUAGUCUGCAGAGCAGUUCCAGGAGAGCCAGGGAUCCAGAGAAACUCUGCCUCAAAACACCCCCAAAACAACAACAGAUCCCUAGAAGGAGCUGAGGAUGUGGAUCGAUUGGUAGUGUGCUUGUCUUGGAGUAGCAUGGAGGAGGUCUUGAGUUUGAGGUCAGCCUGGACUCUGUAAUGUGAACCUGUUUCAAAGAAGAAAAAGAGAAGGAGGAGAAAAGAAACAUUCUACUCAAGUCCUUUACCCAUUUUCUUAAUCUUAAGCAUAAAUGCAUGUUUUAUAUAAAUGGAUUGCAGUUGCGCUUGGUGGCGCAGGCCUUUAAUCCCAGCACUCGGGAGGCAGAGCCAGGUGGAUCUCUGUGCGUUCGAAGCCAGCUGGAUCUACAAAGCAAG